rnacentral:rRNA from 1 species
UGCCAGCAGCCGCGGUAAGACGGAGGGGGCUAGCGUUGUUCGGAAUUACUGGGCGUAAAGAGCACGUAGGUGGUCUAGUAAGUUAGAAGUGAAAGCCCGGGGCUCAACCUCGGAAUUGCUUUUAAAACUGCUAGACUAGAGUAUAGUAGGGGAUGGUGGAAUUCCUAGUGUAGAGGUGGAAUUCUUAGAUAUUAGGAGGAACACCGGUGGCGAAGGCGGCCAUCUGGGCUAUUACUGACACUGAGGUGCGAAAGCGUGGGGAGCAAACAGGAUUAGAUA